UACAGGGGGGGCAAGCGUUGUUCGGAAUUACUGGGCGUAAAGGGCUCGUAGGCGGCCAACUAAGUCCGACGUGAAAUCCCCAGGCUUAACCUGGGAACUGCGUCGGAUACUGGAUGGCUUGAAUUCGGGAGAGGGAUGCAGAAUUCCAGGUGUAGCGGUGAAAUGCGUAGAUAUCUGGAGGAAUACCGGUGGCGAAGGCGGCAUCCUGGACCGACAUUGACGCUGAUGAGCGAAAGCU
rnacentral:rRNA from 1 species